GAUGAACGCUGGCGGCGUGCCUAAUACAUGCAAGUCGAGCGAACAGACGAGGAGCUUGCUCCUCUGACGUUAGCGGCGGACGGGUGAGUAACACGUGGAUAACCUACCUAUAAGACUGGGAUAACUUCGGGAAACCGGAGCUAAUACCGGAUAAUAUAUUGAACCGCAUGGUUCAAUAGUGAAAGACGGUUUUGCUGUCACUUAUAGAUGGAUCCGCGCCGCAUUAGCUAGUUGGUAAGGUAACGGCUUAUCAAGGCAACGAUGCGUAGCCGACCUGAGGGGGUGAUCGGCCACACUGGAACUGAGACACGGUCAAGACUCCUACGGGAGGCAGCAGUAGGGAAUCUUCCGCAAUGGGCGAAAACCUGACGGAGCAACGCCGCGUGAGUGAUGAAGGUCUUCGGAGCGUAAAAAUCUGUUAUUAGGGAAGAACAAAUGUGUAAGUAACUAUGCACGUCUUGACGGUACCUAAUAAGAAAGCAACGGCUAACUACGUG
rnacentral:rRNA from 1 species